rnacentral:rRNA from 1 species
UACGUAGGGGGCGAGCGUUGUCCGGAUUUAUUGGGCGUAAAGAGCUCGUAGGCGGCUUGGCAAGUCGGGUGUGAAACCUCCAGGCUCAACCUGGAGACGCCACUCGAUACUGCUAUGGCUAGGGUCCGGUAGGGGACCACGGAAUUCCUGGUGUAGCGGUGAAAUGCGCAGAUAUCAGGAGGAACACCGGUGGCGAAGGCGGUGGUCUGGGCCGGCACUGACGCUGAGGAGCGAAAGCGUGGGUAGCAAACAGG